rnacentral:lncRNA from 1 species
UAAGCAAUAUAUCCUAAUUUAGAAUUCAAAAGUUCCUUACAAAAGCAGUUUAUCUUCUCAAACACAAGGGAAAUUGGCAAGAUAUACGGUAUAAAAAAUUCGGAAAAAAUCUGAACAAGAAAUUUAGGUCCGAGUAUUAAGGAUUGUUUUUGGUUGUGAAAAAGUUUGAUUGAAAGAGUUCCGUCAAAAAGAGGUGAAACGCUGCUCAAUACCCGGUAUGCCUAUCUGAACGUGAUUUUGGGGGUUUUGUGAGAGACUAGGAAUUAUGCGAGCAUUUGGUUUUUAUUUAUGAGAUUUCUAAUUUUGCAUUACGCCUCAAGUUUUGUGCUUGGUUUUCAACGUCUGGUUCUAUAUCAAAAUUGAGUUUAUUAAAACAUGUAUUUUCUUAACUCAAAUUUUAUCAUAUUUCUUGUACAAAAAAUGUAAUUCCAAUCUGAAGUUCUCUGUGACAAUACAGAACAAAUGGGAAAUUUUUUGAUGAGCCCAAGAACAAACAAGUAACAUGAAAAAUAAAAUAAUGUGGGCAAUUUUUGAAACCGUAUAUAUUUAGGACUUGAAAGUCCGUCCUUUUAGUCGUUCAAAUCUACAUUUUUGGUUGCACAUAGAACUUUUAACAUAGAAUUAGUAAAAUACAGAUGCAAACGACUAAACAAUGUGAGAGACUUUUGGAAAUGUAUGUAAUGUAACUUAGGAAUGUUCCCUUUGGAUUGCAAAUAUGCUUUUGAUGUAAAGUAAAUAGAAUGUAAUGUAACUUAAAAAACUACUUUACCCUAUUUGUUUAGUUGUUCUAUUAAUUUAUAAAAUGUUUUGCAAUGAAUGUAUUGCUUUGUGUAUGGUAAUAUACGUGUUUGUCAACGCAGAUAAGCUGUUUCUAGCUUCUGAACAUCAAUUAUUAUUAGGUGCCGUUAUUCAACUUUGUCUCUUUUUUGAGAUAUGAUUCAUAUUUGCUGUAAAAUGUAAAUUAAUUCUGACCAGCAAUUUUACAUUUGAACACUAAUUAUAACCAAUACACAAAGUUUAAUUACCAAGAACUACAAAUAUAAAAAAAA